rfam:Oryza sativa Japonica Group DNA, chromosome 1, cultivar: Nipponbare, complete sequence.
UUCAACAUUUGAUCAUCCGUUUUUUUUAAUAUUUUUGUUAUUAGUAUUUUUGUUGUUAUUAGAUGAUAAAACAUGAAUAAUACUUUACGCGUAUUCUUUUUUUACUUUUUUCAUUAAAAAAAUUAAAUAAGAUGGACGGUCAAACGUUGGAUUUAAAAACCCAC